CUGUAAACAGCACAAAUAUAGAUGUGAGACCAUGAUAUAUACAUAUAUUAGCAUCUCCAACAGUCUCUUAGUUGGCUCCUAAACAUAAUAUAAAAAAUAUGGAUCUUCGCAAUUUAGUACAAAAUUAAGAGUGUGAACUCCAACAAUGCUCUCUAUAUUUAUUCUCCAUUUCAUAUUUUAUUUUUAGUGGGCUCUACUAUGACAAAGAUUUAAAUAGAAAGAGAAGGAAACUGAAAUAAAAGAGAGGGAAAAGUGGGGAUAAUUGGAGGAAAAGAAUUUUUUAUUGUUAAAUAUAAGUUAAGGUACUGUUUGGGGUUGCUGUUGCAGUCAACAGCAACAACAGCUUUUUGCUGAAAAACACGUGAAAAACUGUUUGGUAAAUCUAAAAGCAGCUUUUCCGAACAGCAGCUUUUAGCUGAAAAGCUGCUGUUAGAAAAAGCAGGUCCUCCCAUGCUUUUGGAAAAAGCUGCUUUUCAGCUUUUGCAGAAUGCUAUUAUAGAUUUCAUUAUAAAACCUCACCAAAAUCAUUAUUUUUUUUAUAUUAUAACUCAAAAUAAGUAAAUAUCAAAAAAAUUACCAAACAGUUAUCUGAUUUGUACAACAGCACUUAUUUUACCAGCACUUUUUCUGAAAGCAUAGCAAUUUUUAACAGCACUCCCAAACAGACCCUAAGAGCCAAGUUGCGGCUCCAAAAGAGAGGAGAGAGAGUGAGCUCUUUACUUUUUAAAGAGCCUCUAAGAGUCUCUUGGAGCUCUAUUUUGGACAUGGCUCUUUAUUUUUCUACUUAAGAGCUCAAUUAGAGAGUCUCUUGGAGAUGAUCUGCUACCAUGGUAGUAUGGAAGUGUUCCCUCCUAUAAAAAACAAGGGGCAUAAUUAAUUGCAAGUACAUACCUCC
rnacentral:lncRNA from 1 species